rnacentral:rRNA from 1 species
AAUAAAAAUAAUUUUAAAUAAUAUUUGUGGGGUUAGAGUAUUAUUUAAAGAAAAAAUUAUUAAUUUUAUAGUUAAUUAAGUAUUGAAGAAGAAUUUUGAAAUAUUUGAAAAUAAAUUUAUUAAAAAGUAAUUUUUAUUUAGUGUAUCUUGUGUAUCAGAGUUUAUUAAAAAUUUUAUAAAAUAUUUUUAUUUUCUCGAAUUUAAAAGAGUUAAAUAAUUAAUAAAUUUAUUGUUGAAAAAAUAUUUUAAAUAAUUAUUUUGAAAUGAAAUGUUAUUCGUUUUUAAAUAUAUCUAGUUUUUUUAGAAAAAAAUUUAAUUUUAAAUUUAAAAAUAAAUUUAAUUAAUUAAUAAAUUUAAUUAAUUUUUAAAUUUUAUAUUUUAGGGGAUAAGCUUUAAAUUAAAUUUUUAUAUUAAUUUAUUGAAUUAUGAAAUUUAUAUAAUUUAUAUUAUUAAUAAAUUUUAAUUUGUUAUAAAUAAUUUCAUUAAAAAAAAAAUUUAAUAUUUAAUUAAUUUUUUAUGGAAAAAUUAUUUUUAAUGUUAUUAAGGUUAGUUAUAAUGAUAAAAUUAGUAUAUUAUAUUAUACAUAAUAUAUAUAUAUAUAUAUAUAUAUAUAUAUAUUAUGUAUAAUUAUUAUUAUUUGUUAUUUAUUUAUUUAAAUAAUUUAUUUUAAGGAAUUCGGCAAAUAUUUAUAUUCACUUGUUUAACAAAAACAUGUCUUUUUGUAUUAAUUUAAAGUCUAAUCUGCCCACUGAUUAAAAUUAAAGGGCUGCAGUAUAUUGACUGUACAAAGGUAGCAUAAUCAUUAGUCUCUUAAUUGGUGACUUGUAUGAAAGAUUGGAUGAAAUAUAUACUGUCUCUAAAUAAAUUUAUAGAAUUUAAUUUUUUAUUUAAAAAGUUAAAAUUUUUUAAAAAGACGAGAAGACCCUUUAGAGUUUAAUAAUUAUUUUUUUUUAUUUUUUAUUUAUAAAUUUAUUAAUUAUAAUAAUAAUAAUUAUUUUGUUGGGGUGAUAAAAAAAUAAAAUUAACUUUUUUUAAAAAUUAAAAUCAUAAAUAAGUGUUUUAUUGAUCCAAUUUUAUUGAUUAUAAGAUUAAAUUACCUAAGGGAUAACAGCGUAAUUUUUUUUUUUAGUUCAAAUAAAAAAAAAAGUUUGCGACCUCGAUGUUGGAUUAAGAUAAAAUUUAAAUGCAAAAGUUUAAAAUUUUGAUCUGUUCGAUCAUUAAAAUCUUACAUGAUCUGAGUUCAAACCGGUGUAAGCCAGGUUGGUUUCUAUCUUUUAAUUAUUUAAAUAUUUUAGUACGAAAGGAUCAAAUAUUUUAAUUAAAUUAUUAAUUUUGAAUAUUAUUAAA